rnacentral:tRNA from 1 species
GGAGGCAUAGCUGACGUGGGCAAGCGUCGGUCUGAAAAGCCGAAGAGGUUGGUUCGACUCCAACUGCCUUCA